rnacentral:rRNA from 1 species
AGAGUUCGAUUAUGGCUCAGGACGAACGCUGGCGGCGCGCCUAACACAUGCAAGUCGAACGAGCGAGAGAGAGCUUGCUUUCUCGAGCGAGUGGCGAACGGGUGAGUAACGCGUGAGGAACCUGCCUCAAAGAGGGGGACAACAGUUGGAAACGACUGCUAAUACCGCAUAAGCCCACGGGUCGGCAUCGACCAGAGGGAAAAGGAGCAAUCCGCUUUGAGAUGGCCUCGCGUCCGAUUAGCUAGUUGGUGAGGUAACGGCCCACCAAGGCAACGAUCGGUAGCCGGACUGAGAGGUUGAACGGCCACAUUGGGACUGAGACACGGCCCAG